GAGCUCUGGCGACUGGCGAUGAAGAUUCUUGCUAGGUCUUUGAUCGACAGAUCAGUUUUUGCACCUAAGAUUUAGUGUCCUGGAUUUAAUCUUCUUUAUCUCCUUCGAUUGAUUAUUCCAACAACCCCAAAAAAUGGUUGGAGUUUGAAGGGGAUUUUGAUGGAUUGUAAGCUAUCGGGGGAAUCAAGUUUCUGUAUGUACAUAUCUGCAUCUUUUUACUUGCAGAAAAUGUUGUCAGAUAGUGCCAUGGCUGGCAGAGCAGGUCGAUUUGGAACUACGGGUUAACAAGCUAUUCUUGAUCGAUUAUCUCAGUAUUUCUUUGCAUCUGUUCUGCGGCGGAAGGAAGCUUAUCCGGUCAUUGUGGAUGGAUGGGCACAACGUUGUGAUGGUAUUGAGGACCAGAUAGAUUGGCAGAGUUAGGUUUGAUGCGCGGUGGUAAUGUUCAGUUCAUCGAUAUUGUGUGCCUCUGCAAUCUCUGUUGCUGAACAUAAGCUCAGGGUGAUGUUCAACAAAUAUUCAAGUCCUGAACAUAGAGUUGCUAUACUUGUGCCUGCGAUAAUACCCUUUUGGGGAUUCAUGAUCCAUUAAUGAAGAACACACCUGAAUCCUUCAAAUUUCAUGUAUUUGUGAGAGGUCUCCGAGUAUAUUCUUAAUUGUAUUAAUUCAAUUUCUACAACAUGUGAUUUGUACUAUCUUAGUCUAUUUUAUAAGUGAUGGAUCAUUGGUUCAGGGUUCAAUGGGCUCAUGUAAUUUUGUUUUCACUUUUAAGAAAAGAGGAUGUAAUUGUAACUGA